UACGUAGGGUGCGAGCGUUAAUCGGAUUUACUGGGCGUAAAGCGUGCGCAGGCGGCCCGUUAAGACAGGUGUGAAAUCCCUGGGCUCAACCUAGGAAUUGCGCUUGUGACUGGCGGGCUCGAGUACGGUAGAGGGGGGUGGAAUUCCUGGUGUAGCAGUGAAAUGCGUAGAGAUCAGGAGGAACACCGAUGGCGAAGGCAGCUCCCUGGGCCUGUACUGACGCUCAUGCACGAAAGCGUGGGGAGCAAACAGG
rnacentral:rRNA from 1 species